AGCGGUGGCCCUGUCCAAGGU
rnacentral:misc_RNA from 1 species